rnacentral:rRNA from 1 species
GACGAACCGUGCGAACGUUGUUCGGAAUCACUGGGCUUAAAGGGCGCGUAGGCGGGCCGCACAGUCCGGGGUGAAAGCCCCCCGCUCAACGGGGGAAGGGCCUCGGAAACGCGCGGCCUGGAGGGGGGCAGGGGCCCGCGGAACUUCGGGUGGAGCGGUGAAAUGCGUUGAGAUCCGAAGGAACGCCGGUGGCGAAAGCGGCGGGCUGGACCCUUCCUGACGCUGAGGCGCGAAAGCCAGGGGAGCAAACGGG